GAGGAACGCUGGCGGCGUGCUUAACACAUGCAAGUCGAACGAUGAAGCCCAGCUUGCUGGGUGGAUUAGUGGCGAACGGGUGAGUAACACGUGAGUAACCUGCCCUUAACUCUGGGAUAAGCCUGGGAAACUGGGUCUAAUACCGGAUAGGAGCGUCCACCGCAUGGUGGGUGUUGGAAAGAUUUAUCGGUUUUGGAUGGACUCGCGGCCUAUCAGCUUGUUGGUGAGGUAAUGGCUCACCAAGGCGACGACGGGUAGCCGGCCUGAGAGGGUGACCGGCCACACUGGGACUGAGACACGGCCCAGACUCCUACGGGAGGCAGCAGUGGGGAAUAUUGCACAAUGGGCGCAAGCCUGAUGCAGCGACGCCGCGUGAGGGAUGACGGCCUUCGGGUUGUAAACCUCUUUCAGUAGGGAAGAAGCGAAAGUGACGGUACCUGCAGAAGAAGCACCGGCUAACUACGUG
rnacentral:rRNA from 1 species